UACGGAGGGUGCAAGCGUUGUUCGGAAUUACUGGGCGUAAAGCGCGCGUAGGCGGUUUGUUAAGUCAGAUGUGAAAGCCCAUGGCUCAACCAUGGACGUGCAUUUGAAACUGGCAGACUUGAGUAUUGGAGGGGGUGGUGGAAUUCCCGGUGUAGAGGUGAAAUUCGUAGAUAUUAGGAAGAACACCGGUGGCGAAGGCGCCUUACUGGCUCGGAACUGGCGCUGAGGUGCGAAAGCGUGGGGAUCAAACAGGAUUAGAUACCCC
rnacentral:rRNA from 1 species